rnacentral:rRNA from 1 species
GACGAACGCUGGCGGCGUGCUUAACACAUGCAAGUCGAACGGAAAGGCCUAGCUUGCUGGGUACUCGAGUGGCGAACGGGUGAGUAACACGUGGGUGAUCUGCCCCUGACUUUGGGAUAAGCCUGGGAAACUGGGUCUAAUACCGGAUAUUCAUUUUUCCUCGCAUGGGGAUUUGUGGAAAGCUUUUGCGGUUGGGGAUGGGCCCGCGGCCUAUCAGCUUGUUGGUGGGGUAAUGGCCUACCAAGGCGACGACGGGUAGCCGACCUGAGAGGGUGAUCGGCCACACUGGGACUGAGACACGGCCCAGACUCCUACGGGAGGCAGCAGUGGGGAAUAUUGCACAAUGGGCGCAAGCCUGAUGCAGCGACGCCGCGUGAGGGAUGACGGCCUUCAGGUUGUAAACCUCUUUCAGCUCCGACGAAGCGCAAGUGACGGUAGGAGCAGAAGAAGCACCGGCCAACUACGUG